CAAUAGCGUAUAUUAAAGUUGUUGCGGUUAAAAAGCUCGUAGUUGGAUAUCUGUUUGGUAUUGAAGUUCUAACCGAUAAAGUUGGAUACGGCAAAACCAAACCUAAAUUACUGGAAUUAUCUUGUUUUUACGAGAUAACGAAAGUAGUAUUUCACCUUGAGGAAAUUAGAGUGCUUAACGCAAGUGUUAUGUAUGCUUUGAAUAUUUUAGCAUGGAAUAAUAACCUAAGGCUUUGAACAUCUUAUCAACUCUAUGUUCAAAGUAAUGUAUAAUAGAGGUAGUUGGGGGCAUUCGUAUUUAACUGUCAGAGGUGAAAUUCUUGGAUUUGUUAAAGACGAACUAAUGCGAAAGCAUUUGCCAUGGACACUCUCAUUGA
rnacentral:rRNA from 1 species